AGCAGCGUGGCUCAGUGGAAAGAGCAUGGGCUUUGGAGUCAAGAGGUCAUGGGUUCGAAUCCCGGCUCUGCCA
rnacentral:tRNA from 1 species